GUGAAUUUCCUUCUCCUGGCUCAGAAGCUCCCCCACUGAACACCUUGUGACUCCCGCCCCUGCCCACCAGAGAACAACCCCCUUUGACUGGACACGCAUGAAAUUUGGUGCCGUGACUCAGAUCGGGGGACCUCCCUUAGGAGAUCAAUCCCCUGUCCUCCUGUUCUUUGCUCCGUGAGAAAGAUCCACCUAUGACCUCAGGUCCUCAGACCGACCAGCCCAAGAAACAUCUCACCAAUUUUAAAUCAGAUCUUCUCGGCUUAGCAGCUGAAGACUGACACUGCCCGAUCGCCUCGGAAGCCCCCUAGACCAUCACGGACGCCGAGCUUCGGGUAACUCUCACAGUGGAAGAGACCUUGAAGAUUUGUUGUUCAAGGAGAAACUGAAGAGCAAGAAGGAAAGUGAGAGCCAGCAAUACCAGCAGAGCCAGAUCUGAGCUGGGAGAAGGGGAGAAAGUUUGUGAAGAGGAGAGACAGGGUCCUGCUUUGUUGCCCAGGCUAAAAUGCAACGGCGCUAUCAUGAUCAUGGCUCACUGCAGCCUCAACCUCGUGGGUACAAAGUAUCCUCCUGCCUCAGGCUCCUAAAGUUUUGGGAUUACAGAUGGUAUUGCCUGGAAGACAGGAUUCUGAAACCAGCACCAACUUUCCUUCUGCCUUCUCCUUGGUCAGUGUGGACAGACAAUCGCUGAUGAGGUCUUAUACAGGCCAAAGAGGAAGUUGGCUAAGCCAAUAGGGUCUUCAGCUCCACUUUGCUAGGAUAAACCCAUGCACUUUUGGUAAGCAACUUGUAUGCUUAUUUAGAACUCAGGAAUCCCAAAAAUAGAGUGUGCGUGUUGCUUUAAUUCUGAUAAAGAAGUAAUCUGGGAAGAAGAAAGCAAGCACGAAUUGUACCUACUGUCCUGUAGCUCAUAUUCUUAAGAGAAAACAAAAUACCAUUAAAUCAUGAAGGGUCCCUGUCCCCCAACAACACAGAUCCAUAGGCACACAAAUACACGUAUGCCUUACUCACCGACCUGCAGUGUGCAAAAAGAAGGUUAUAUACAAAGAGCAACCUAAAGUCUACUUUCAAAGUCAGCCACUUUUUAUUCAAAUAAAUUAGACCAAAAUCUCAUGUUUUAAUGUAUCUAGAAGUCAUCUGGAAGUAUCCAGGCUUUCAGGCUUUAUCUCCAUAAGCUUUUCCUUAUCUAACUGAGAUGCGCCAUAGGAAUCUGCACUUUCUGUCAGUCAACAGAGAUAAUCAGAUCAUCAUGGUGAAUGCUGUUCGAUAAUGGUAUUUU